rnacentral:pre_miRNA from 1 species
UGAUUGUCCAUACGCAGUUCUCAAGGUCUAGAAUCGACGAAUUGCCGUUUAAGAAUUGCGAAUGGUCAUCAAC